rnacentral:rRNA from 1 species
UACGUGGGGGGCAAGCGUUGUUCGGAAUUACUGGGCGUAAAGGGCUCGUAGGCGGCCAACUAAGUCAGACGUGAAAUCCCUCGGCUUAACCGGGGAACUGCGUCUGAUACUGGAUGGCUUGAGUUUGGGAGAGGGACGCGGAAUUCCAGGUGUAGCGGUGAAAUGCGUAGAUAUCUGGAGGAACACCGGUGGCGAAGGCGAGGUCCUGGGCCAGCGCUGGCACUGAGGGAGCGAAAGCCAGGGGAGCAAACGGG